rnacentral:rRNA from 1 species
AUUGAACGCUGGCGGCAGGCUUAACACAUGCAAGUCGAGCGGGGUGAUGGUGCUUGCACUAUCACUUAGCGGCGGACGGGUGAGUAAUGCUUAGGAAUCUGCCUAUUAGUGGGGGACAACAUCUCGAAAGGGAUGCUAAUACCGCAUACGUCCUACGGGAGAAAGCAGGGGAUCACUUGUGACCUUGCGCUAAUAGAUGAGCCUAAGUCGGAUUAGCUAGUUGGUGGGGUAAAGGCCUACCAAGGCGACGAUCUGUAGCGGGUCUGAGAGGAUGAGCCGCCAAACUGGGACUGAGACACGGCCCAGACUCCUACGGGAGGCAGCAGUGGGGAAUAUGGGACAAUGGGGGGAACCCUGAUCCAGCCAUGCCGCGUGUGUGAAGAAGGCCUUAUGGUUGUAAAGCACUUUAAGCGAGGAGGAGGCUCUUUUGGUUAAUACCCAAGAUGAGUGGACGUUACUCGCAGAAUAAGCACCGGCUAACUCUGUGCCAGCCGCCGCCGUAA